rfam:Picea glauca, whole genome shotgun sequence.
GUAUAUGACCACAACAAAGCGUUAAUGCAUUGGAUCUUAUUAGAACUUCGCAAUUAAAUGCACUCAGGCUAGAGUAGUACUGGGAUGGGUGACCGCCCGAGAAUUCCUACAGUUUUACAUGCC